rnacentral:rRNA from 1 species
AACGUAGGUGGCAAGCGUUGUCCGGAAUUACUGGGUGUAAAGGGAGUGCAGGCGGGACGGCAAGUUGGAAGUGAAACCCAUGGGCUUAACCCAUGAACUGCUUUCAAAACUGUCGUUCUUGAGUGGUGCAGAGGAUAGCGGAAUUCCCGGUGUAGUGGUGAAAUGCGUAGAUAUCGGGAGGAACACCAGUGGCGAAGGCGGCUAUCUGGGCUGAAACUGACGCUGAGGCGCGAAGGCUAGGGGAGCAAACAGG